rnacentral:lncRNA from 1 species
UUCUUAAUAUUUAACAAUCAAAUAACUCUCCAAGUAUUUUUAUACAAAAAAAAAUUGAACUACUUAUUCAAGCUGAACAAAAGCACACAAGCUUAAAAAAUAGUGUGAUAAGAAAAUAUUUGACCGAAAACAAGCUGUUAUAGAACAUAUAAGAACAUGUGAUGUGAUUCUUUACUGACUGUGACUGUGAUCCUCAUCAUUUUUCGCUUCCCUUUGGUGAUAUCGGUUUUGGAUCUUUUGAAUGAGAGGAUUUGCCAGUAAUAGCUUUCUUCACCUUGAAAAUUGAAUGCUUGACUUUUGAUCCGACACCUGAUAGUAUGUUAUGAGAUUUCUUAUGUGGUUUAAUGUCGGUAUCUCUAGGUGCUUCUACCAUGACAGGAGCAUCUGAAACAGAGUCUGCCUUGUUGUGUUCAUCUCCUUCCUCUCCUUCAUCUUUCUCUUCAUCUGUUUUUGCUUCUUUAAGUUGAAUCGCUUCUGCUUCUUCCUCCUUUGGUUCUUCUUUGCUUACUAUUAGCUCCCUCUUCUGAAUGACAUCUUUAGCCACUUGCAUUUGUUCUCUUGUGGAUCUUUGGAGUAGGUCAGACAGUGAUAGCUUAGGUGAAUCUGGUGAUGCAGGUUCCUGGGUUAUUCCCACAACUGAAUUAUCUGUCUUUUUCUCUGCUUCACGAUCAACUCCUGCUUCUGAACAAAUCUCUUGAGCACUUCCAGUUUCCAGAUCUCCUACUUCAGCUUUCUCUGAAGUUUCUAAAGCUCUAUCCUGCUGUUCUAUUGGAAAAUGGUCCUUGCCAAUUGAACUUGUUGUCCUUGUGCUCUCUACAGGAUCUGCUUCUCCUUGAAUCUGUUUGUCAAAUGUUACAUUACUGCUAUAUCUAAGCUAAAUUCAUGAUAUAAAUGAAACAUAUAGCUGCUCAGCAUGAUUUUUCCUAUUAGUUUUUUUCCCUCUAUGUUAUAACUUGUGAUGUUUUGGCACCAUUUGGGGACCUUGAGAAAAGAUUGAGGGACCAGAUAAAGUAAACUUCUUUGUUUCUUUGUUUUUUUAAACCCCUUAAACCUAGAUUUUGUAUUCAAGUUAUUUCAUUGCCUUCUCUAGUCAUAAAUUCUCAUUUCUCUUACUAGUACCCGAGUUCUUUUCCAUAUUUGAACAGACUUGUGAGAUCAAAAAAAUUGUUACGCUUUAUGGUCAAUCUUAUUUUAGUGGAUUUCCUGAAGUAUACUCUUCAAAAUAUCUAGUUUAUUUGUGUUUUCAUAUAAGAUUAUGAAAAGGCAAGUUAAAAAGGAGGAUCAUAUAUGUAUUCUCACCUCUUCCCUUGCAGUUGUGGCUUCUUCCAUGCCAACGGAAGCUUGUUCUAGAUCCUUGACAGUUUUAUCUUCAGCAACGAUCUCUUUCUCAAAAUUAUUCUUUGCAC